CUUUCUGUUUCAAAAGAACAAGGAAAAAAAAUCUCCUUUUCCUCUCAAGUAGGCCCAAAAUCCGGCUUAACUCCGGCGAGGAUUUCGGUGAGAGCUCCGGCGCCGUCACCAUCGCCGCGGUGGCCGAAAAUCUUAAAGUGACCCUUUUUAAACCGUCUUAACCCCGGGGACUCCGAUCUAUCCUUAAAACUCGCUAAAAGCCUUCAAAGAUCGGAGGAAGACCGAAAAAACCCCUCGGUUUCUUCUUCUCCGGCCGUCAGCAAGGUUCAACAUGCGCAACGUGCGCGGGGCGGGGAGGAGCGGCGCACGUAGAGGAGGCUUGCUCCGAUCUUUGCGGCGGCUGGAAAGGGAGGCUCCUAGGGUUUCUGUUUUUUGGUUAAGCUUUGGGCUAGGUUUAGUUUGGGUCAGGUGUUGGGCCAUUCUAGGUUUAGUUGGGUCUGUUUAUUGGUUUGGGCUCGGGCAUUAUUGGGCUUGUACACAAGUGAUUUCCAAAAAUCAAAAUUUAUUCAUUACCAAAAAAAAAAAAUAUUUGUAAAAAAAAUAAAGAUUUAUUAUUAUCGAACAACAUAAUUUUAUUUUGCAA